UACGGAGGGAGCUAGCGUUAUUCGGAAUUACUGGGCGUAAAGCGCACGUAGGCGGCUUGAUAAGUAAGAGGUGAAAGCCUGGAGCUCAACUCCAGAACUGCCUUUUAGACUGUCUCGCUUGAAUCCAGGAGAGGUGAGUGGAAUUCCGAGUGUAGAGGUGAAAUUCGUAGAUAUUCGGAAGAACACCAGUGGCGAAGGCGGCUCACUGGACCGUUGUUGACGCUGAGGUGCGAAAGCGUGGGGAGCAAACAGG
rnacentral:rRNA from 1 species